UACAGAGGGUGCGAGCGUUAAUCGGAAUACUGGCGUAAAGAGCUCGUAGGCGGUUUGUCGCGUCUGCCGUGAAAGUCCGGGGCUCAACUCCGGAUCUGCGGUGGGUACGGGCAGACUAGAGUACUGCAGGGGAGACUGGAAUUCCUGGUGUAGCGGUGGAAUGCGCAGAUAUCAGGAGGAACACCGGUGGCGAAGGCGGGUCUCUGGGCAGUAACUGACGCUGGAGGAGCGAAAAGCGUGGGGAGCCGAACAGG
rnacentral:rRNA from 1 species